rnacentral:misc_RNA from 1 species
UCCGAGUUGACCCCGGCAGUCUCCUAUGAGUCCCCACCAUCACGUGCUGGCAACAUAGAACGAGGGUUGCGCUCGUUGCGGGACUUAACCCAACAUCUCACGACACGAGCUGACGACAGCCAUGCACCACCUGUGAACCGACCCCAAAGGGGAAGGACUGUUUCCAGCCCGGUCCGGUCCAUGUCAAGCCUUGGUAAGGUGGGGAUGACGUAUAGGAGCUCGAC